GGCGGGCGGAAUGGGGGCGUGGUCGGGAGGGGGGGGGGAUAUGUCACUCUUGGCUGUCUUCAAAACUUGAGAGCCCUGCGCAUUAUCAUUAUCAAAAGUGAUGGCAUGUGAUAAAUAAACAGCAGGAUAUCAUACGGAGUUUCUUAAUAAGCUACUUCCAUUGUUAGUAGGUCUACUGAGAAAUUAAUCGAUAACGUCGAUGUCUAUUGCCUGCUUAAUUUAAAAUAUGGCUUGUAUUUCUGUGCACGGAGGAUAAUUAAAAGUAAGCAGACAGGAUGCGGUACUAUCAAUCAUAAAUAUCACAUUUAGCUACCAUAACUAAGGCCCCUCACCCCUCCCUUCCUCGCUGACACAUCUUUAACAGCUUUUCUGAGGAAACGAAAGUAACACAGGACAGAUGCCCACGGAGGAGGAGCCUUCAGGUAUAAAAGAUCUUGUCACCGUUGUCAGGUCCUUUCUAUCCUGCAGACUCGUCUGCCCGAAGGAUCUUGGGGCCAUAGAGACGUUCUUCGCGUUGAAGAUGCUGUCGGUCAACGAUGGUCCAAUGGGUGAACAUCCUGUCGAUCAACGAUGACCAACGAUCGUCAAUCGACAAUCGUCGGUUAUCGUUGACCUACAAUGGUGGGAACAGCCAUCCAUCGUUGACAGAUGCCAUAGAGCCUCAUUCUGUCUGCUUGCACUCUUUAUGUUUUUGGAGAAGUGGAGGAAAAUCCCUGCUCCCAAGGGUAGGGUCACUUGGACCUUGUGUGCUUUAGUCCGGUGAUGUCAGCGGAGGAUCCCGACUCGUCGAGGUUCCCCGUUGUUCCCCGGUCUGGAGGCACAGGUCUCUAGUGAGCAGCGCCUGGUGUCCCCAUCGACUGCUGACGAAGCAACAGACCAAAGAAGCAACCCAUGCAAGAAGCAACCACAACAAACAAAGCAAACAAACAAACAAAGCAAACAAACAAACAAACAAACAAACCACGAAAAAGUUUAAAAGCUUAAAAUGUUAAAGUUACCCUCUACAGGGUGGCUUCUAGUUGUCUGUUGCUUGGUUGGUGGGUCGAGGGGACCCAUUCGUGAAACACACCCCGACAGUUUCUAAUAAGUAAUGCUGUACGCUUGUUUUCCUUACAAAAAAAAUUAAUAAAAAUGGCAAAAGCUGUAACGGAAACCUUUUUGUGUGUCUGUGAACUUCUUUCUACUUACUGCACGUGCAGGUUUCUGUCUCCAAGAAGAGACUCUGAUGGCAAGUAAAGACAUUUCAAACUUGAACAUACUAGCUCUAUGGCUCUGCAGAAAGCCUGCGUGAUUUCAGUAAUGUAAGUCAAACAUAAGUGAAGUGAAUAUACUGUAUAUGCUCAAUACUCAUUAGGAUUAGGAUGUUGUAGUCUUUAAAUGCUUUACUUUCCUACCCACAAAGACCAGCAAGUGUAUUAAUAGUAAAACAGUUUACACUUGAAAGAGUGGACUUAUCAGAUUAAACAAAUAUAGGUUCAACGUGUCUGAAAAACACGCUUUCUCUUUGACAUAAGUAUGUGACAUAGCAUGACAAUACUAAGGGAUCAAAAUAAUUGCACAGCAUAAAGUUCCCUGAGGCUUCUAGAACAGUCUGAGAGUGGCAGGAUCUGUUCUGUUUCCUGAAGCUUCUAGAACAGUCUGAGAGUGGCAGGAUCUGUUCUGUUUCCUCAAGCUUCUAGAACAGUCUGAGAGUGAUAGGAUCUGUUCCGUUUCCUGUAUAGGGAGUAGCCUUGUGUUGAGGUUUACUGAGAAAUGAAACUAAGUUAGAUGGGGCGGGACACACCACACAACACAGAGACAGAUGUAUGGCAGAGUAUGACCCAUAACAGUGACAGUAAAUAUAUAGCUGUGCUGCAACUUACAAUCAGUUGAUUUUUAAUGUUAAAUACAUAAAGUGAUAUAGCUCUUCACACAUUUAGGAGCGUAUAGUAUAUAUUUGUAUGGCUAGGUGGAGAUGCCUCUGCUUCGACAUGACAAAGUGAGAUACUAAUCGUACAUUUCAAUAAGCAUAGCAAUACCACCCGAAUGUUCCAGAACAGAGAUGAACUUAUCGCCUUCCUGUUGAGCCGCCUGCCAGGAGACCAAGAGGGAGUGGAUGACUGAGAAAAGAUAUUUAAGUGGGUUGAGGCUGGGAAGUCUCUGAACAACACAACACAUUCAGAAAUAUACCUCCUUGCAGUUUCUGUGGGGUGUACUGAAGUAUACUAUUGUCUAUAUCACAGUAUUUCUCUUAUUUGUAACUAUGUGUUGGUAUACCUCAUCAGUAGAUUGCUGGACAUGUAUCCUUGUCAUAGUGUGUGAUCUGGAUGACCUCCGCAGACACACAUUCACUGCAU
ensembl:lncRNA